GUCAGAAUAAUGUCAAAGUGCUUACAGUGCAGGUAGUGAUGUGUGCAUCUACUGCAGUGAGGGCACUUGUAGCAUUAUGCUGACUGCGUGCUUUUUGUUCUAAGGUGCAUCUAGUGCAGAUAGUGAAGUAGACUAGCAUCUACUGCCCUAAGUGCUCCUUCUGGCAUAAGAAGUUAUGUCGCAGCCCUCUGUUAGUUUUGCAUAGUUGCACUACAAGAAGAAUGUAGUUGUGCAAAUCUAUGCAAAACUGAUGGUGGCCUGCGUGUGAUGUGACAGCUUCUGUAGCACUAAAGUGCUUAUAGUGCAGGUAGUGUGUAGCCAUCUACUGCAUUACGAGCACUUAAAGUACUGCCAGCUGUAGAACUCCAGCACUGGUCUAUGGUUAGUUUUGCAGGUUUGCAUCCAGCUGUAUAAUAUUCUGCUGUGCAAAUCCAUGCAAAACUGACUGUGGUGGUGCUUUCUACACAGGUUGGGAUUUGUCGCAAUGCUGUGUUUCUCUGUAUGGUAUUGCACUUGUCCCGGCCUGUUGAGUUUGG
rnacentral:lncRNA from 1 species